CCACAUCAUGUUGAAAUACUGGUUCCCGUACGAUCACCAGUUAAACAAUGUCAAGCCUGGUCAGUACCUAGAUGGGUGACUGCUUGGGAAUACCCAGGUGCUGUAAG